rnacentral:lncRNA from 1 species
UUGGAUCUUCAAAAUUUUACAAAAUUAAAGGAGGAAAACGCUGAAUUAUCAGUGCAUGAGUUAGGAGAUUGAUUCCUUAAGUGUCUCUAACAUCAAUGAUGAUUUGGGGUAAAAUCCACUUUUUGACGCCUAACAAGCUAGGUGGAGGCUUGGGGAAGAUGCGGGUCGAACGGAUUGAGUAUGUGGAAAAAGAGCAUAACCGGAUGCAAGGUAAGUGA